GUGAAUCAUCAAAUCUUUGAACGCAAAUUGCACUCUCUGGUUUUCCGGGGAGUAUGCCUGUUUGAGGGGCAGGUUAAAUAAAAAUCGGUGUGGUUGCUGCCUGUGGUGGUGACGCACCGGAUGUGGGUCGUCUGGCCUUCGGUUAAGUGACCUAUUAUUAUGCAUGAUUUUUUUCGCACGUAUUUAACUGAUUUU
rnacentral:misc_RNA from 1 species